rnacentral:tRNA from 1 species
GCCGGCUUAGCUCAGUUGGUAGAGCAACUGAUUUGUAAUCAGUAGGUCGUGGGUUCGACUCCCUCAGCCGGCACCA